rnacentral:rRNA from 1 species
GACGAACGCUGGCGGCGUGCUUAACACAUGCAAGUCGAACGGAAAGGCCCUGCUUUUGUGGGGUGCUCGAGUGGCGAACGGGUGAGUAACACGUGAGUAACCUGCCCUUGACUUUGGGAUAACUUCAGGAAACUGGGGCUAAUACCGGAUAGGAGCUCCUGCUGCAUGGUGGGGGUUGGAAAGUUUCGGCGGUUGGGGAUGGACUCGCGGCUUAUCAGCUUGUUGGUGGGGUAGUGGCUUACCAAGGCUUUGACGGGUAGCCGGCCUGAGAGGGUGACCGGCGACAUUGGGACUGAGAUACGGCCCAGACUGCUACGGGAGGCAGCAGUGGGGAAUAUUGCACAAUGGGCGGAAGCCUGAUGCAGCAACGCCGCGGGCGGGAUGACGGCCUUCGGGUUGUAAACCGCUUUCGCCUGUGACGAAGCGUGAGUGACGGUAAUGGGUAAAGAAGCACCGGCUAACUACGUG